rnacentral:piRNA from 1 species
AGAACUGGAAAGAAUAGCACUUGGAGUG